AACGAACGCUGGCGGCAGGCCUAACACAUGCAAGUCGAGCGCGCCCUUCGGGGUGAGCGGCGGACGGGUGAGUAACGCGUGGGAACGUGCCCUUUUCUACGGAAUAGCCUCGGGAAACUGAGAGUAAUACCGUAUACGCCCUUUGGGGGAAAGAUUUAUCGGAAAAGGAUCGGCCCGCGUUGGAUUAGGUAGUUGGUGGGGUAAUGGCCUACCAAGCCGACGAUCCAUAGCUGGUUUGAGAGGAUGAUCAGCCACACUGGGACUGAGACACGGCCAAGACUCCUACGGGAGGCAGCAGUGGGGAAUCUUAGACAAUGGGGGCAACCCUGAUCUAGCCAUGCCGCGUGAGUGAUGAAGGCCUUAGGGUUGUAAAGCUCUUUCAGCUGGGAAGAUAAUGACGGUACCAGCAGAAGAAGCCCCGGCUAACUCCGUG
rnacentral:rRNA from 1 species